rnacentral:rRNA from 1 species
GAUCCUGGCUCAGGAUGAACGCUAGCGACAGGCUUAACACAUGCAAGUCGAGGGGCAGCGGGGUAGCAAUACCCGCCGGCGACCGGCGCACGGGUGAGUAACGCGUAUGGCAACUUACCUAUCAGAGGGGGAUAACCCGGCGAAAGUCGGACUAAUACCGCAUGAAGCAGGGCCCGCAUGGGGAUAUUUGCUAAAGAUUCAUCGCUGAUAGAUAGGCAUGCGUUCCAUUAGGCAGUUGG